UAGCCUUGACAUACUACAGAAUUUGACAGAGAUGUUGGAGUGCCUUCGGGAGCUGUAAUACAGGUGCUGCACGGCUGUCGUCAGCUCGUGUCGUGAGAUGUUGGGUUAAGUCCCGCAACGAGCGCAACCCUCGUCCUUAGUUACUAACGGUUUGGCCGAGGACUCUAAGGAGACUGCCUUCGUAAGGAGGAGGAAGGUGAGGACGACGUCAAGUCAUCAUGGCCCUUACGGCUAGGGCAACACACGUGCUACAAUGGUUAGGACAAUGAGAAGCGAUACCGCGAGGUGGAGCAAAUCUAUAAACCUAAUCUCAGUUCGGAUAGCAGUCUGCAACUCGACUGCUUGAAGCUGGAAUCACUAGUAAUCGUAAAUCAGCUAUGUUACGGUGAAUACGUUCCCGGGUCU
rnacentral:rRNA from 1 species